CCUACGGGUGGCUGCAGUGAGGAAUCUUGCGCAAUGGGGGAAACCCUGACGCAGCAACGCCGCGUGAGUGAGGAAGGUCUUCGGAUCGUAAAGCUCUGUCGGGUGGAAAGAAAUGUAUGGGGUUAAUAGCCUUCAUACUUGACGGUACCACCAAAGGAAGCACCGGCUAACUCCGUGCCAGCAGCCGCGGUAAUACGGGGGGUGCAAGCGUUGUUCGGAGUGAUUGGAGGUAAAGAGCUAAGAGGGAGGUGAAAGCCCUGGGCUUAACCCAGGAAGUGCAUUUGAAACUGCCAGGCUUGAGUAGGGGAGAGGGAAGUGGAAUUCCUGGUGUAGAGGUGAAAUUCGUAGAUAUCAGGAGGAACACCGGUGGCGAAGGCGACUUCCUGGCCCUAUACUGACGCUGAGACGCGAGAGCGUGGGUAGCAAACAGGAUUAGAUACCCUAGUAGUC
rnacentral:rRNA from 1 species